rnacentral:misc_RNA from 1 species
GAUGAAGAACGUAGCGAAAUGCGAUAAGUAAUGUGUAUUGCAGAAUUCAGUGAAUCAUCGAAUCUUUGAACGCACAUUGCGCCCCUUGGUAUUCCGAGGGGCAUGCCUGUUCGAGCGUCAUUAUAACCCCUCAAGCUCAGCUUGGUGUUGGGGCCUGCUGCACUGGCAGCCCUUAAAAUCAGUGGCGGCGCCAUCUGGCUCUAAGCGUAGUAAUUCUUCUCGCUAUGGAGUCCUGGUGGAUGCUUGCCAUCAACCCCCAAUUUUUCUAUGGUUGACCUCGGAUCAGGUAGGGAUACCCGCUGAACUUAAGCAUAUCAAUAAGCGGAGGA